GGCAGCAUAGCUUAGUUGGCUAAAGCACCUUCCUUGUGAGCAGGAGAUCCUGGGUUCGACUCCCAGUGGUGCCU
rnacentral:tRNA from 1 species